GACGAACGCUGGCGGCGUGCUUAACACAUGCAAGUCGAACGGAAAGGCCCUGCUUUUGUGGGGUGCUCGAGUGGCGAACGGGUGAGUAACACGUGAGUAACCUGCCCUUGACUUUGGGAUAACUUCAGGAAACUGGGGCUAAUACCGGAUAGGAGCUCCUGCUGCAUGGUGGGGGUUGGAAAGUUUCGGCGGUUGGGGAUGGACUCGCGGCUUAUCAGCUUGUUGGUGGGGUAGUGGCUUACCAAGGCUUUGACGGGUAGCCGGCCUGAGAGGGUGACCGGCCACAUUGGGACUGAGAUACGGCCCAGACUCCUACGGGAGGCAGCAGUGGGGAAUAUUGCACAAUGGGCGGAAGCCUGAUGCAGCAACGCCGCGUGCGGGAUGACGGCCUUCGGGUUGUAAACCGCUUUCGCCUGUGACGAAGCGUGAGUGACGGUAAUGGGUAAAGAAGCACCGGCUAACUACGUGCCAGCAGCCGCGGUGAUACGUAGGGUGCGAGCGUUGUCCGGAUUUAUUGGGCGUAAAGGGCUCGUAGGUGGUUGAUCGCGUCGGAAGUGUAAUCUUGGGGCUUAACCCUGAGCGUGCUUUCGAUACGGGUUGACUUGAGGAAGGUAGGGGAGAAUGGAAUUCCUGGUGGAGCGGUGGAAUGCGCAGAUAUCAGGAGGAACACCAGUGGCGAAGGCGGUUCUCUGGGCCUUUCCUGACGCUGAGGAGCGAAAGCGUGGGGAGCGAACAGGCUUAGAUACCCUGGUAGUCCACGCUGUAAACGGUGGGUACUAGGUGUGGGGUCCAUUCCACGGGUUCCGUGCCGUAGCUAACGCUUUAAGUACCCCGCCUGGGGAGUACGGCCGCAAGGCUAAAACUCAAAGGAAUUGACGGGGCCCCGCACAAGCGGCGGAGCAUGCGGAUUAAUUCGAUGCAACGCGUAGAACCUUACCUGGGUUUGACAUGGAUCGGGAGCGCUCAGAGAUGGGUGUGCCUCUUUUGGGGUCGGUUCACAGGUGGUGCAUGGCUGUCGUCAGCUCGUGUCGUGAGAUGUUGGGUUAAGUCCCGCAACGAGCGCAACCCUUGUUCACUGUUGCCAGCACGUUAUGGUGGGGACUCAGUGGAGACCACCGGGGUCAACUCGGAGGAAGGUGGGGAUGACGUCAAGUCAUCAUGCCCCUUAUGUCCAGGGCUUCACGCAUGCUACAAUGGCUGGUACAGAGAGUGGCGAGCCUGUGAGGGUGAGCGAAUCUCGGAAAGCCGGUCUCAGUUCGGAUUGGGGUCUGCAACUCGACCUCAUGAAGUCGGAGUCGCUAGUAAUCGCAGAUCAGCAACGCUGCGGUGAAUACGUUCCCGGG
rnacentral:rRNA from 1 species